AUUGAACGCUGGCGGCAUGCCUUACACAUGCAAGUCGAACGGUAACAGGUUAAGCUGACGAGUGGCGAACGGGUGAGUAAUGUAUCGGAACGUGCCCAGUCGUGGGGGAUAACUACCCGAAAGAGAGGCUAAUACACCAUACGACCUGAGGGUGUAACCGGGGACACGUAAGGCCUCGCGCGAUUGGAGCGGCAGAUAGUAGAUUAGCUAGUUGGUGAGGUAAAAGCCCACCAAGGCGACGAUCUGUAGCUGGUCUGAGAGGACGACCAGCCACACUGGGACUGAGACACGGCCCAGACUCCUACGGGAGGCAGCAGUGGGGAAUUUUGGACAAUGGACGCAAGUCUGAUCCAGCCAUGCCGCGUGCGGGAAGAAGGCCUUCGGGUUGUAAACCGCUUUUGUCAGGGAAGAAACGAGUUUCUCUAAUACAGAGACUUAAUGACGGUACCUGAAGAAUAAGCACCGGCUAACUACGUGCCAGCCGCCGCCGUAAUAC
rnacentral:rRNA from 1 species